CCAGUAUAAAACAGCCUAGCUGUAGCCCCAUGUAACAAAAACACAACUUAGUGGAAAGAGGCCUUGCCAGGGAUAGGAGACGGGCAUAGGAGGAAGCUAUGGAGGGAUUGGUACGUUAGAAGGUUAGGGGCUGAGCUAUAUAAAUAGGCAGUGUAACAGUUACCCCAUGUAGCAGAGGGGUUUCAACCGCUGGAGGGUGUCCUUUUCCCGAUCAGUGAGGAGGAUUCUCAGCAUCCAGUCGUG